UGGUGGAUUGAUUUGUCUGGUUGAUUCCGAUAACGAACGAGAUCUCCGCAAGAUACCUGGUCUGGAAGGGUCAUUUCCCUUCUCAGUCAGUUUCUGGACAGUGCAUGGCAAGUGCAAGGAAGUGGAGGCAAUAACA
rnacentral:rRNA from 1 species